CCUACGUGGGGCAGCAGUGAGGAAUAUUGGUCAAUGGGCGCGAGCCUGAACCAGCCAAGUAGCGUGAAGGAUGACUGCCCUACGGGUUGUAAACUUCUUUUAUAAGGGAAUAAAGUGAGGCACGUGUGCCUUUUUGUAUGUACUUUAUGAAUAAGGAUCGGCUAACUCCGUGCCAGCAGCCGCGGUAAUACGGAGGAUCCGAGCGUUAUCCGGAUUUAUUGGGUUUAAAGGGAGCGGAGAUGGGUUGUUAAGUCAGUUGUGAAAGUUUGCGGCUCAACCGUAAAAUUGCAAUUGAUACUGGCAGUCUUGAGUACAGUUGAGGUAGGCGGAAUUCGUGGUGUAGCGGUGAAAUGCUUAGAUAUCACGAAGAACUCCGAUUGCGAAGGCAGCUUACUAAACUGCCACUGACAUUGAUGCUCGAAAGUGUGGGUAUCAAACAGGAUUAGAUACCCCAGUAGUC
rnacentral:rRNA from 1 species